rnacentral:lncRNA from 1 species
AUUUCAGUUCAUAAUUAACUUCAUAUGCAUAUAUAGACAACUUUGCAUAGAAUAAUCAUUCAUUUGAAACAAAAAUUCAAAUGGGUGUUCAUAAAUCAUAAUUACCAAGAAGAUACCAGGUUGCAUAAUCCAUCACCAAACCCCCCAAAAAAGCCAGGUCCACCCCAGAAACCACCGCCACCCCAUGGCCCCCCAGGCCCGGGGCCCCAGCCACCAGGUCCUCCAGGUCCCGGGCCUCCCCAGCCACCAGGUCCUCCAGGUCCAGGGCCUCCCCAGCCACCAGGUCCUCCAGGCCCAGGGCCUCCCCAGCCACCUCCUCCUGGCCCUCCACCUCCACCGCCAGGUCCGCCAGGUCCGCCAGGUCCGCCAG